UAUCUGGGGGGAAUACAUUCCAAGACCUCCAGUGGGUGCCUGAAACCAUCGGUAGUACCGAACCCUAUAUAUACUACCUUUUCCCCCCCAUAUCUUAUAUAUAUAUUUUUACAAUAUCUUCUUGUACUGUACUCACUCUUCUUCCUGUAAUGGUGUGAGAGGACACAAUGCUUUACGAUACCUGUGUGAUGAAAUGAAGUGAGUGAUGUAGGCAUUGUGAUGUAGUGUCAGGCUACUACUGACCUUCUAAUGAUAUAUCAGGAGGAUCAUCUGCUCUUGGACAGUGGUUGACUGCAGGCAACUGAAACCAUGGAAAGCAAAACUGCAGUUCUGGAGCCCAGAAAUCCAAAAUCAAGUUGUUGGCAGAGCCAUACUGUCUCUGAAGGCUGAAGAGGAGAAUCCAUCCUUGCCUCUUCCAUCUUCUGGUGCAUCCAGACUGCUCCUGACUUGUGGCCGCAUAACUAUAUUCUGUUUAUCUCUUCACGCUGUCUCCUCCUUGUGUCCAAUUUCCCCCUGCCUUGCUGUAAUGAGAACACCUGUCAUUGGAUUUAGGCCCACAGACAAUCCAGUAUGAUCUUAUCUUAAGACCUUUAAUUUCAUUGCAAGAGCAAAGACUCUUUUUCUAAAUAAGGUCACAUACAUAGGUUCUGGGGGGUAGGAUGUGUUCAUAUUAUUUUGGGGGCCAACAUUCAACCCAGCACAGUUUUCCACAUGGGCAUUCCCUGAAAUAGAACAGUGGCUGGGCACGAUUGUUCAGUUUGCCAUAGUUCCUACUAUUUCCCAUUGCCUGGGAAUUUCAAAUUUAUAAAUCUUAGUUUAGGAUUUGGUGAGAGACUUAAUAAUCACCAUGUGAAUUCACCUGUGACACAACUAUGACAAGACGACCACAGUUCCUAAACAGUGACUGUGCACUAGAGUCACUUCAGGGGGCUUAAAUUGUAGCUGUCUAAUUUUGCUUCUGGAGAGUCUGAUUCAGUAGGUUUAGGGGGUGACACUGGAAUUUACCAUUUUAAGCACUCCUCAGGCAAAGCUGGACUUGGAAACCAUGGUGGAGCAUCAUACCCUGGUUAUGUUCCUGGGACAGAAGAAUCCAUGGAUUUUGCCAAACUCCAAGGAUAAAAAACCUGAAGAUAUUUGACAAAGGAACACCCCAGCUCUCUUGACUUAGCUCUGCUUCCUCUGCCAUUUUAGUUGUUGUCUGUGUUCCUUUUCUACCUUUCAUGGUACAGAAGACACAGUGCUAUAAUUAACAAUUACUUUUGAACAAAGUGAAGAAAUAAUGAUACAAAUUGUAUACGAUCAAUAUACAUCAUAUAAUCGCAUGCUA